ACAUGCCUACAACAUAACAUUAAUGUCGUGGAUCUCAUUAGAACUCUGUAGUUAAGCAUGCUCAGGCUAUAUUACUACUCGGAUGGGUGAUCUCCCAUGAUGUUCUAGUGUCUUACAUGGC
rnacentral:rRNA from 1 species